AUUGAACGCUGGCGGCAUGCUUUACACAUGCAAGUCGAACGGUAACAGGCCGCAAGGUGCUGACGAGUGGCGAACGGGUGAGUAAUGCAUAGGAACGUGCCCAGUCGUGGGGGAUAACGCAGCGAAAGCUGUGCUAAUACCGCAUACGAUCUGUGGAUGAAAGCGGGGGACCGAAAGGCCUCGCGCGAUUUGAGCGGCCGAUGUCAGAUUAGGUAGUUGGUGGGGUAAAGGCUCACCAAGCCAACGAUCUGUAGCUGGUCUGAGAGGACGACCAGCCACACUGGGACUGAGACACGGCCCAGACUCCUACGGGAGGCAGCAGUGGGGAAUUUUGGACAAUGGGCGCAAGCCUGAUCCAGCAAUGCCGCGUGCAGGAAGAAGGCCUUCGGGUUGUAAACUGCUUUUGUACGGAGCGAAAAGGCUCUCUCUAAUACAGGGGGCUCAUGACGGUACCGUAAGAAUAAGCACCGGCUAACUACGUGCCAGCCGCCGCGGUAAGAC
rnacentral:rRNA from 1 species